UACGAAGGGGGCUAGCGUUGUUCGGAAUUACUGGGCGUAAAGCGCGCGCAGGCGGUCUUCCAAGUCAGUGGUGAAAGCCUGGAGCUCAACUCCAGAACUGCCAUUGAAACUGUUAGACUUGAGUACGAGAGAGGUGAGUGGAAUUCCCAGUGUAGAGGUGAAAAUUCGUAGAUAUUGGGAAGAACACCAGUGGCGAAGGCGGCUCACUGGCUCGUAACUGACGCUCAGGCGCGACAGCGUGGGGGAUCAAACAGG
rnacentral:rRNA from 1 species